rnacentral:rRNA from 1 species
ACGCCGCGUGCGGGAUGACGGCCUUCGGGUUGUAAACCGCUUUCGCCUGUGACGAAGCGUGAGUGACGGUAAUGGGUAAAGAAGCACCGGCUAACUACGUGCCAGCAGCCGCGGUGAUACGUAGGGUGCGAGCGUUGUCCGGAUUUAUUGGGCGUAAAGGGCUCGUAGGUGGUUGAUCGCGUCGGAAGUGUAAUCUUGGGGCUUAACCCUGAGCGUGCUUUCGAUACGGGUUGACUUGAGGAAGGUAGGGGAGAAUGGAAUUCCUGGUGGAGCGGUGGAAUGCGCAGAUAUCAGGAGGAACACCAGUGGCGAAGGCGGUUCUCUGGGCCUUUCCUGACGCUGAGGAGCGAAAGCGUGGGGAGCGAACAGGCUUAGAUACCCUGGUAGUCCACGCUGUAAACGGUGGGUACUAGGUGUGGGGUCCAUUCCACGGGUUCCGUGCCGUAGCUAACGCUUUAAGUACCCCGCCUGGGGAGUACGGCCGCAAGGCUAAAACUCAAAGGAAUUGACGGGGCCCCGCACAAGCGGCGGAGCAUGCGGAUUAAUUCGAUGCAACGCGUAGAACCUUACCUGGGUUUGACAUGGAUCGGGAGUGCUCAGAGAUGGGUGUGCCUCUUUUGGGGUCGGUUCACAGGUGGUGCAUGGCUGUCGUCAGCUCGUGUCGUGAGAUGUUGGGUUAAGUCCCGCAACGAGCGCAACCCUUGUUCACUGUUGCCAGCACGUUAUGGUGGGGACUCAGUGGAGACCGCCGGGGUCAACUCGGAGGAAGGUGGGGAUGACGUCAAGUCAUCAUGCCCCUUAUGUCCAGGGCUUCACGCAUGCUACAAUGGCUGGUACAGAGAGUGGCGAGCCUGUGAGGGUGAGCGAAUCUCGGAAAGCCGGUCUCAGUUCGGAUUGGGGUCUGCAACUCGACCUCAUGAAGUCGGAGUCGCUAGUAAUCGCAGAUCAGCAACGCUGCGGUGAAUACGUUCCCGGGGCUUGUACACACCGCCCGUCAAGUCAUGAAAGUCGGUAACACUCGAAGCCGGUGGCCUAACACUUUUUGUGGGGGAGCUGUCGAAGGUGGGACUGGUGAUUAGGACUAAGUCGUAACAAGGUAGCCGUACCGGAAGGUGCGGCUG